rnacentral:rRNA from 1 species
GCAAUUAUACCGCGAAACUGCGAAUGGCUCAUUAUAUAAGUUAUCGUUUAUUUGAUAGUACCUUACUACUUGGAUAACCGUGGUAAUUCUAGAGCUAAUACAUGCUAAAAAUCCCGACUUCGGAAGGGAUGUAUUUAUUAGAUUAAAAACCAAUGCCCUUCGGGGCUCCUUGGUGAUUCAUGAUAACUUCUCGAAUCGCAUGGCCUUGUGCCGGCGAUGGUUCAUUCAAAUUUCUUCCCUAUCAACUUUCGAUGUUUGGGUAUUGGCCAAACAUGGUUGCAACGGGUAACGGAGGGUUAGGGCUCGACCCCGGAGAAGGAGCCUGAGAAACGGCUACUACAUCCAAGGAAGGCAGCAGGCGCGCAAAUUACCCAAUCCCGACACGGGGAGGUAGUGACAAUAAAUACUGAUACAGGGCUCUUUUGGGUCUUGUAAUUGGAAUGAGUACAAUUUAAAUCCCUUAACGAGGAACAAUUGGAGGGCAAGUCUGGUGCCAGCAGCCGCGGUAAUUCCAGCUCCAAUAGCGUAUAUUAAAGUUGUUGUGGUUAAAAAGCUCGUAGUUGAACCUUGGGCCUGGCUGGCCGGUCCGCCUCACCGCGUGUACUGGUCCGGCCGGGCCUUUCCCUCUGUGGAACCCCAUGCCCUUCACUGGGUGUGGCGGGGAAACAGGACUUUUACUUUGAAAAAAUUAGAGUGCUCCAGGCAGGCCUAUGCUCGAAUACAUUAGCAUGGAAUAAUAGAAUAGGACGUGUGGUUCUAUUUUGUUGGUUUCUAGGACCGCCGUAAUGAUUAAUAGGGACAGUCGGGGGCAUCAGUAUUCAAUUGUCAGAGGUGAAAUUCUUGGAUUUAUUGAAGACUAACUACUGCGAAAGCAUUUGCCAAGGAUGUUUUCAUUAAUCAGGAACGAAAGUUAGGGGAUCGAAGACGAUCAGAUACCGUCGUAGUCUUAACCAUAAACUAUGCCGACUAGGGAUCGGACGAUGUUAUUUUUUGACUCGUUCGGCACCUUACGAGAAAUCAAAGUGCUGG